CGACUGCGGCGACCAAUCAGAUGAGAGUAACUGCAACGUUAACGAGUGUUUGAACCGGCGGACGACCUGUCUGUGGGUUACAAGUGUGUGUGCUGGCCUGGUUUCCGUCUGAAGACAGACGUACGGACGUGUAUAGACAUUAAUGAGUGUGUGGAGAGAUUCCCGUGCAGCCAGCAGUGCAUAAACACGUACAAGUGUGUGUGCGCAGAUGGAUACAAACCUCUGGAGACGGACGCACACAGCUGCAGAGCUGUCUUAGUGAUGGUGUCAGGAAUACGGCUGAUGCACAGAACACACUCGUCUGAACCACAUUUACAGGAAAACCCAGAGCUGUCCUCAACUACAGCGCCGAGAAACCAUUACUCAUCAACUACAAACCAACGCCCUAUAACCCCCCGCUCCUCCGACACCCUUUAACCCCCCUCCUCUGACGCCCUAUAACCACCUCUCCUACAGCGCCCCUUAACCCCCUCUCCUCCGACGCCCUACAACCCCCACUCCUCCAAUGCCCUACAACCACCUCUCCUCCGACGCCCUACAAACACCACUCCUCCGACACCCUUUAACCCCUUCUCCUCCGACGCCCUACAACCCCCUCUCCUCCGACACCCUUUCACCCUCUCUCCUCCGGCGCCCUUUACCCCCCUCUCAUCUGAUGCCCUUUAACCCCCUCUAGUCCGAUGCCCUAUAACCCCUUUUUCUCCGACGCCCUAUAAACCCUUCUCCUCCGACGCCCUUGAACCCCCUCUCUCCUCUGACGCCCUAUAACCCCUCCUCUCGUUCGACGCCCUUUAACCCCCUCUCCUCUGAUGCCCUUUAAUCCCUUCUGUCCUCUGAGGCCCUAUAACCCCUUCUACUCCGACGCCCUUUAACCCCCUCUCCUCCGACGCCAUAUAAUCCCUUCUCCUGCAACACCCUUUAACCCCCUCUCCUCUGACGCCCUUGAACCCCCUCUCCUCUGACGUCCUUUAACCCCCUCUCCGCCAACGCCCUUUAACCCC